rnacentral:rRNA from 1 species
GAUGAACGCUGGCGGCGUGCUUAACACAUGCAAGUCGAGCGGAAAGGCCCUGAGUUUGUGCGGUGCUCGAGGGCGGCAGGGGUGCGUAACACGAGAGUAACCCCCCCCUACCUUUGGGAGAACUUUAGGAAACCGGGGCUAAGACCGGAUAGGAGCUCCUGCUGCAUGGUGGGGGAUGGUAAGAUUCGGCGGUUGGGGAUGGUCUCGCGGGUUACGAGCUAGUUGGUGGGGUAGUGGCUUACGAAGGCUUUGACGGGUAGCCGGCCUGAGAGGGGGACCGGCCACCUUGCGACUGAGCUACGGCCCAGACUCCUACGGGAGGCAGCAGUGGGGAAUAUUGCACAAUGGGGGCAAGCCUGAUGCAGCAGCGCCGCGUUCGGGAUUACGGCCUUCGUGUUGUGAACCACUUUCGCAGGUACCGAAGCGUGAGUGACGGUAAUGGAUAAAGAAGCACCGGCUAACUACGUG